GAUGAGCGCUGGCGGCGUGCCUAAUACAUGCAAGUCGAGCGAACGGACGAGAAGCUUGCUUCUCUGAUGUUAGCGGCGGACGGGUGAGUAACACGUGGAUAACCUACCUAUAAGACUGGGAUAACUUCGGGAAACCGGAGCUAAUACCGGAUAAUAUUUUGAACCGCAUGGUUCAAAAGUGAAAGACGGUCUUGCUGUCACUUAUAGAUGGAUCCGCGCUGCAUUAGCUAGUUGGUAAGGUAACGGCUUACCAAGGCAACGAUGCAUAGCAGACCUGAGAGGGUGAUCGGCCACACUGGAACUGAGACACGGUCCAGACUCCUACGGGAGGCAGCAGUAGGGAAUCUUCCGCAAUGGGCGAAAGCCUGACGGAGCAGCGCCGCGUGAGUGAUGAAGGUCUUCGGAUCGUAAAACUCUGUUAUUAGGGAAGAACAUAUGUGUAAGUAACUGUGCACAUCUUGACGGUACCUAAUCAGAAAGCCACGGCUAACUACGUG
rnacentral:rRNA from 1 species